rnacentral:lncRNA from 1 species
CGAUUUCACAGAAUUUCACACAUAAAAUGUAGCAUCUUUUUCAAAAAAAGACUCACCGGAUUCAAAAACUGACCAUACCAGAAUUCAAGCACUGUCAAACCAUCAGACUUAUCUUUGGUUUGCUAGAAACGGUUGCAGAUUCACAAAUUUAGCCCCCCUCUCCCACUCUCAAGCAAUUGAAUAACUUUAACAACACUCCGAAUUCAAAUUUGAAUUUAAAUUAUUCAAACCAAAAUUAUAGUUAUUAUACGUUAACUUUCAAUUCCAGUAAUUAGAUUUCUUAUAUUUUAUCAAACUAUCAUGCCCCGGAUUAUAACGUUCUCCGGGCUGGCCAACAGAUCCGCCGUACACAUAAAAAUUUUUCGUGUAU